rnacentral:rRNA from 1 species
CCUACGGGUGGCAGCAGUGGGGAAUAUUGCACAAUGGGGGAAACCCUGAUGCAGCAACGCCGCGUGAGGGAUGAAUUAUUUCGGUGUGUAAAGCUCUAUCAGCAAGGGAUUGAAAAGAAGGUACCUGAACUAGAAGCACCGGCUAACUGCGUGCCAGCAGCCGCGGUAAUACGUAGGGGCCAAGCGUUAUCCGGAUUUACUGGGUUUAAAGGGAGCGUAGACGGGAAGGUAAGUCAGAGGUGAAAGCCCAAGGCUCAACCAUGGGAUUGCUUUUGAAACUGGCAAACUAGAGUACGGGAGAGGUAAGCGGAAUUCCUGGUGUAGCGGUGAAAUGCGUAGAUAUUAGGAGGAACCCCAGUGGCGAAGGCGGCUUACUGAACUGAAACUGACGUUGAGGCUCGAAAGCGUGGGGAGCAAACAGGAUUAGAUACCCCAGUAGUC